CUGACGAGUCCAAAAUAGGACGAAACACGUGUU
rnacentral:hammerhead_ribozyme from 1 species